UUGGUUAAGUUAGAAAGGGCGCACGGUGGAUGCCUUGGCACUAGGAGCCGAAGAAGGACGGGACUAACACCGAUAUGCUUUGGGGAGCUGUACGUAAGCGUUGAUCCAGAGAUUUCCGAAUGGGGGAACCCACUAUCUUUAGUCGGAUAGUAUCCUUACGUGAAUACAUAGCGUGAGGAAGGCAGACCCAGGGAACUGAAACAUCUAAGUACCUGGAGGAAGAGAAAGAAAAAUCGAUUUCCUGAGUAGCGGCGAGCGAAACGGAAAGAGCCCAAACCAAGAAGCUUGCUUCUUGGGGUUGUAGGACACUCUAUACGGAGUUACAAAAGAAAGUUAUAAAUGAAGCGGUCUGGAAAGGCCCGCCAAAGACGGUAACAGCCCGGUAGUUGAAAUGGCUUUCCCUCCAGAGUGGAUCCUGAGUACGGCGGAACACGUGAAAUUCCGUCGGAAUCCGGGAGGACCAUCUCCCAAGGCUAAAUACUCCCUAGUGACCGAUAGUGAACCAGUACCGUGAGGGAAAGGUGAAAAGCACCCCGGAAGGGGAGUGAAACAGUUCCUGAAACCGUGUGCCUACAAGUAGUUAGAGCCCGUUAAUGGGUGAUAGCGUGCCUUUUGUAGAAUGAACCGGCGAGUUACGAUUUGUUGCAAGGUUAAGCGGAAAAAGCGGAGCCGUAGCGAAAGCGAGUCUGAAUAGGGCGCAUAAGUAACAGGUCGUAGACCCGAAACCAGGUGAUCUACCCAUGUCCAGGAUGAAGGUAAGGUAAUACUUACUGGAGGUCCGAACCCACGCACGUUGAAAAGUGCGGGGAUGAGGUGUGGGUAGCGGAGAAAUUCCAAUCGAACUUGGAGAUAGCUGGUUCUCUCCGAAAUAGCUUUAGGGCUAGCCUCGAGGUAAAGAGUCAUGGAGGUAGAGCACUGUUUGGACUAGGGGCCCUUCUCGGGUUACCGAAUUCAGAUAAACUCCGAAUGCCAUGUACUUAUACUCGGGAGUCAGACUGCGAGUGAUAAGAUCCGUAGUCGAAAGGGAAACAGCCCAGACCACCAGUUAAGGUCCCCAAAUAUAUGUUAAGUGGAAAAGGAUGUGGGGUUGCUUAGACAACCAGGAUGUUGGCUUAGAAGCAGCCACCAUUGAAAGAGUGCGUAAUAGCUCACUGGUCGAGUGACCCCGCGCCGAAAAUGUACCGGGGCUAAACAUAUUACCGAAACUGUGGAUGAACCUCUUUAGAGGUUCGUGGUAGGAGAGCGUUCUAAGGGCGGUGAAGUCAGACCGGAAGGACUGGUGGAGCGCUUAGAAGUGAGAAUGCCGGUAUGAGUAGCGAAAGAAGGGUGAGAAUCCCUUCCACCGAAUAUCUAAGGUUUCCUGAGGAAGGCUCGUCCGCUCAGGGUUAGUCGGGACCUAAGCCGAGGCCGAUAGGCGUAGGCGAUGGACAACAG
rnacentral:rRNA from 1 species